rfam:Desulfobacteraceae bacterium 4572_87 ex4572_87_scaffold_14744, whole genome shotgun sequence.
CCUAGGGUUGAAACCCUAGGCUAUUAUCUACCGUCCCUACGGGACU